rnacentral:rRNA from 1 species
AGGGAGGAAGGUAGUGUAGUUAACACCUGCACUUAUUUGACGUUUACCUACAGAAGAAGCACCGGCUAACUCCGUGCCAGCAGCCGCGGUAAUACGGGAGGGUGCGAGCGUUAAUCGGAAUUACUGGGCGUAAAGCGCAUGCAGGCGGCCUGUUAAGUCAGAUGUGAAAGCCCGGGGCUUAACCUCGGAAUUGCAUUUGAAACUGGCAGGCUAGAGUCUUGUAGAGGGGGGUAGGAAUUUCAGGUGUAGCGGUGAAAUGCGUAGAGAUCUGAAGGAAUACCAGUGGCGAAGGCGGCCCCCUGGACAAAGACUGACGCUCAGAUGCGAAAGCGUGGGGAGCAAACAGGAUUAGAUACCCUGGUAG